UGCAGUCGACGAUGAAGCCGCUUCGGUGGUGGAUUAGUGGCGAACGGGUGAGUAACACGUGGGCAAUCUGCCCUUCACUCUGGGACAAGCCCUGGAAACGGGGUCUAAUACCGGAUAAUACUCUGUUCCGCAUGGAACGGGGUUGAAAGCUCCGGCGGUGAAGGAUGAGCCCGCGGCCUAUCAGCUUGUUGGUGGGGUAAUGGCCUACCAAGGCGACGACGGGUAGCCGGCCUGAGAGGGCGACCGGCCACACUGGGACUGAGACACGGCCCAGACUCCUACGGGAGGCAGCAGUGGGGAAUAUUGCACAAUGGGCGAAAGCCUGAUGCAGCGACGCCGCGUGAGGGAUGACGGCCUUCGGGUUGUAAACCUCUUUCAGCAGGGAAGAAGCGCAAGUGACGGUACCUGCAGAAGAAGCGCCGGCUAACUACGUGCCAGCAGCCGCGGUAAUACGUAGGGCGCAAGCGUUGUCCGGAAUUAUUGGGCGUAAAGAGCUCGUAGGCGGCUUGUCACGUCGGAUGUGAAAGCCCGGGGCUUAACCCCGGGUCUGCAUUCGAUACGGGCUAGCUAGAGUGUGGUAGGGGAGAUCGGAAUUCCUGGUGUAGCGGUGAAAUGCGCAGAUAUCAGGAGGAACACCGGUGGCGAAGGCGGAUCUCUGGGCCAUUACUGACGCUGAGGAGCGAAAGCGUGGGGAGCGAACAGGAUUAGAUACCCUGGUAGUCCACGCCGUAAACGUUGGGAACUAGGUGUUGGCGACAUUCCACGUCGUCGGUGCCGCAGCUAACGCAUUAAGUUCCCCGCCUGGGGGAGUACGGGCCGCAAGGCUAAAACUCAAAAGGAAU
rnacentral:rRNA from 1 species